GCCGAGGUGGCGGAAUUGGCAGACGCGUAGGUCUCAAAAACCUAUGAUCUUUACGAUCAUGCGGGUUCGAUCCCCGCUCUCGGCA
rnacentral:tRNA from 1 species